UACGUAGGUGGCAAGCGUUGUCCGGAUUUACUGGGCGUAAAGAGCGCGCAGGCGGCUGAUUAAGUCGAAUGUGAAAGCCCCCGGCUCAACUGGGGAGGGUCAUUCGAUACUGAUCAACUUGAAGGCAGGAGAGAGAAGUGGAAUUCCCGGUGUAGUGGUGAAAUGCGUAGAUAUCAGGAGGAACACCAGUGGCGAAGGCGACUUCUUGGCCUGUUCUUGACGCUGAGGAGCGAAAGUGUGGGGAGCGAACAGG
rnacentral:rRNA from 1 species